AAAAACAUGUGCUGCUGCGGCUGCGGGAGCCAGUCAGCAUCGCGGAGGCUGGGAGGGCGCUGAGCCUGCCCACUGAGGAGCCGGAGCCUCUGCCUGGCAUCUGGCUGGGGCAGCUCCAGGCCUGGAACAGGAAGCACGUUUCUGGAAGAAGCUGGGCUGGUGUGUUGCUGUGGCCCUGCCAUGGCUGUGUUCUCCUGGCCUACAGCUGUAAGUGCAAGGAUGCUACAGUGUGGACCUCUGUCUCCUGUCCAGCGAUGCCUGUAAGACAGCUUAUUUGCAGAGGGGAAGGUGGCAAAGACAUUCACAUGGGUGGCUCCGGAGGCCCACUCAUCUGUGACGGGGUGCUUCGAGGGUGGUGACCCCUGUGCCCAGCCUAGACAGCCUAGCAUGUUCUCCAAGCUGAAGCUAUACAAGAAGUGGAACGAGGUCACCGUGAGGAACAGCCCAUGAGGUCCCCGUGUCUCCCUUAGUAAACUGACGCCUACCAUCCUGUCUUCUGCACUGUCCCCCUUUUCUGGGCUCUAGGCACCUGGGGGCCCAGGACUCAUCUGGCAGAACCCAAACCCUCCUAAGCCUCCCAACUCAGGUGCCGGGUAUGAAUUCAUCACUUAGCAGGAAGAACUGAGACAUGUGGGAGCCAGCGGGCCUCAGAGGGGCUCCAUGUGCUUCUCCCAUCUCCAGAGCACAGCGGGUCUGGAAACCUCUCAAGCAGAAGGAGAUGGUGGUGGUGACUCUGGAGUGUGUGUGGAGGGUGUGUGUGUGUGUGUGUGUGUGUGUGUUUCAGAGAUGGACGAAGGGUCACCCGGGAGACAGGACCAAGUCCCAUGGUGACAAAUGCAUGAAGCCCUGAGCAAGGCCCAAGGCCCACACAGUGGGCACACAGUGGGUGGUGCUAAAAUGUCAACACAACUGGGCACAGAGUGGGUGGUGCUAAAAUGUCACCUUCAUUCUUCUGGAGGCAGCAGGAUGUCUGAGGCCAUUCUGAGCAGAGGAAGGCGUUGACCCCAUGUUACAGGGCUGGGCUGGAAGCAGGGUGGAGAAGCUUAUUCAUCUGUGGGUGUUGGUGACCACAGACCACAAUUAACAGUAGGACUCACAGCCACCAAAGAUGCGGCGCUGAGGUGAGGCCCGGGUGAAGACCAUGGCAGUGAGCAGACAGAGAUCCAGAGAUAAGCUCCCGGUGGACGGUGGAGCCACCUGUCCAGUGCUCCUGCGGACAGCGGUGUGUGAGGGCCUGUCCAGUGUGGGGAGGCCUCCUAUCCACAGCAACCGGCCCAGCCUGGUGUGUGGGGUGCUUGCUCACUGGUCUCUGUACCCCUGUACUCAGAGGGUCCACAUGAUUGGCACGCGGUCCAUCUCCAGUGUCACCAGGGCACAGCCCAGGACCCCAGAUACCGAAAUCCAGGUUCACACCUGCAGUCACACUGCCAGCACAAACUGCAGCUGAUGUCUCUACUGCACUGAGACCUCUCAGGCUGGGAAGUCGGAGGCAUCCAACAAAGUCCCCAGAAGGGACUCAAGUGAGGGUUCUCUCGUAGUCAAGUUCCCUGGGCUCCUGAGAAAUCUACUGUUCAGGUGAUGAAGGAAGAGACAGAGUGCGGAAGAGGAGAAAAGAGGGGAAAGGUGAGGAAGAGGGAAAUGGAGGAGAGAGGGAGAGAGGAAAGAGGGAGUAGGGAAGAGAAGAGAGGGAUGUGUGAGGAAGCCGAGUGGACCCCGGGACAGGUGGGCCGUGGAGGGGCACUCGGGAGAGUGCAGGUGUGGGACAGACCCUGCACUCACUGGGGACAGGGUGGUGACGCCAUGCUUUUUCUCCAUACGCUUGUGCAUGAAGGAGCCCCACCCUGAGUCCACGGGGUGGAGGGAUUCCCAACACUCCAUGUUGUACACAAGGAACCUCAGGGUGUGUGUCACAGCUGGGGAAGCAGGGCUUGGCUGGGCGUAUGGGACCUCACAAGGCUGUAUUCGGGAUCAGGAUGACAAGAGGUACUCUGAGAGCCAGGCUGAGGUUAGUGGACUCUGGUUCUCCCGGGGAGACUGGAAUUGUGGUAUCAGCAUCCUUGAAGGCUGGCAGGAUGUGAGGACCUUGCGAGGCACUGCUGGAGGUCCCACUGGUGGAGAAAGUGGCUGGAUUGGGGGCUUUCCGUUGGCUGGAACCCUGUGGGCCACUGAGGCCUCCUGGUGACAGACCCUGAGGCGGAAGCUGUUGCUGAGUGCCAGUUCAGACCACACUGUUUGGAGGCCACUUUGAUAUGAGCAGGUUUGGAGGACACUGGGUGGGACUGGAUCCCUCCCUCACAGUCACCUAUGAAACCCAGGUGCAUGGGCUGCAGGGCUGCAAUUACUCAGUAGAACAGAGUCUGAGUCACUGCUGUGACUCCGGGAUAGGACGUGAUGUCCCGAGUUACCCCAGGAGCUGAAACGCUGUGAGAUUGCACCCUAACAGGAGGCUGAGUAAGAACACGGGUGCUCUGCUACCCCUUCCAACUGGACAAGACAAAGUGCCCCAGGAAAAGUUGCCUCUUCUGGAGGCUUUAGGACUAGGGUGAAGGCCACCUAAACUGUAGACUAUGACAUUGUCUGUGUUCACCCGCAUGUCUCCCUCUACAGCAAACUCUGCCGUCUUCUACACAAAGCUUUGUGCAUCUCAGAUGAAUUCGUUUUGAUGGAGAUCACAGGGACUGGAGAGCCAGGGGGGAUCCAGGGUGGAGUCCUGGUGACUGUGCCUUAGAGUGUGAAGGGGCAUGUGAUGACCAAAAUAUUUAAGUUGGAUUCCAAAUUGAGUUGAAAAUGUCCUGAUAAGCAUACUGAAGGAGAUAUGACAAGAUAUUAACAAUAUUAAACAUGAAAACAUAAAACAGGCCAGAAAAAUACUUGGCAGGAAAGAUUUAACAGCUGAAAAAGGAAACUUUCAAAAUGUGAGUAUCUGGGACGGGCAGAUGACUCAGUCAACAAAGCACUUGCAAGUGUGAGGAACUAAGUUCGGAUCCCAGCACCUACAGCAAUCUCCACUGAGGGUGGGCAUCCUGGCAUCUGGAAUGGGGCUCUGUGCUGGCCCUUCCAGGGUCCCACUGGACACAGAUUAACCUUCUUUCUGGUCCUUUGUGCCUGCCCUGUGUCCCCAUCAGUGUCCACCCGCACAGUAUCCCCUUUGCCAGUCUCCAAGAUUCAGUUCUGCGAGUCUGACUCUCCCUGCAUUUUCAGCAACUUUCCGCUUCCACCUCUAAGCCUGAGAGACGCCUGGAUACUGACUUAGCAGGGUGAUAUCUGGACACUGGGUCUCUAGUAUCUGGGUCUGCAAUUCUGAGUCUCUACUAAUGGACUUUUGGAUGGAUGACGGUGUCACCCUUGACAAUCUCUAUUGAGUUCUGUGAACAUGUCUGACGUUAGAUAAUUUAUCUGUUGAACAAAUUGACUAACCCUGUGAACCUGCUAUAAAAAUAUCAUGUGCUACUGAUGAAAA